rnacentral:rRNA from 1 species
UACGGGGGGGGGCAAGCGUUUGUUCGGAAUUACUGGGCGUAAAGCGUGCGCAGGCGGUUUUGUAAGCCAGAUGUGAAAUCCCCGGGCUUAACCUGGGAAUGGCAUUUGGGACUGCAAGGCUGGAGUUUGGCAGAGGAGACUGGAAUUCCUGGUGUAGCAGUGAAAUGCGUAGAUAUCAGGAGGAACACCGAUGGCGAAGGCAGG